rnacentral:rRNA from 1 species
AGGGCACCACCAGGAGUGGAGCCUGCGGCUUAAUUUGACUCAACGCGGGGAAACUCACCCGGCCCGGACACCGUAAGGAUUGACAGAUUGAGAGCCCUUUCUUGAUUCGGUGGGUGGUGGUGCAUGGCCGUUCUUAGUUGGUGGAGCGAUUUGUCUGGUUAAUUCCGAUAACGAACGAGACUCUAGCCUACUAAAUAGAAGGCAAAUUAUUCGUUUGCUGUACUUCUUAGAGGGACUAGGGGCGUCUAGCCUCACGAGAUUGAGCAAUAACAGGUCUGUGAUGCCCUUAGAUGUCCGGGGCCGCACGCGCGCUACACUGAAGGAUUCAGCAAGUGUUAACCCUGGUCUGAGAAGAUCGGGUAACCUAAUGAAACUCCUUCGUGAUUGGGAUAGGGACUUGUAAUUAUUUCCCCUGAACGAGGAAUUCCUAGUAAGUGUGGGUCAUCAUCUCGCGUUGAUUACGUCCCUGCCCUUUGUACACACCGCCCGUCGCUACUAUCGAGUGAUGAGUUAUCCAGA